UCCUAGCCUUAAACGAUGCAUACUAGAUGUAGGGGGGCUCAACCCCUUCUGUAUCGGAGCUAACGCAUUAAGUAUGCCGCCUGAGGAGUACGCUCGCAAGGGUGAAACUCAAAAGAAUUGACGGGGGCCCGCACAAGCAGUGGAGCAUGUGGUUUAAUUCGACGCAACGCGAAGAACCUUACCUGGGCUCGAAAUGUAGGGGGCGACAUCAGAGAUGAUGUCUCUCGCAAGAGCCGCUAUAUAGGUGCUGCAUGGCUGUCGUCAGCUCGUGCCGUGAGGUGUUUGGUUAAGUCCAGCAACGAGCGCAACCCUUAUCGUUAGU
rnacentral:rRNA from 1 species